GUGAGAGUGGCGCACGGGUGCGUAACGCGUGAGCAACCUGCCCAUAUCAGGGGGAUAGCCCGAAGAAAUUCGGAUUAACACCGCAUGACAUCACUUGAUGGCAUCGUCUUGUGUUUAAAUAUUUAUAGGAUAUGGAUGGGCUCGCGUGACAUUAGCUAGUUGGUAGGGUAACGGCCUACCAAGGCCACGAUGUCUAGGGGCUCUGAGAGGAGAAUCCCCCACACUGGUACUGAGACACGGACCAGACUCCUACGGGAGGCAGCAGUAAGGAAUAUUGGUCAAUGGAGGGAACUCUGAACCAGCCAUGCCGCGUGCAGGAUGACUGCCCCUAUGGGUUGUAAACUGCUUUUGUACGGGAAUAAACCCCUCUACGUGUAGAGGGCUGAAUGUACCGUAAGAAUAAGGAUCGGCUAACUCCGUGCCAGCAGCCGCGGUAAUACGGAGGAUCCGAGCGUUAUCCGGAUUUAUUGGGUUUAAAG
rnacentral:rRNA from 1 species